UCCUCCAUGGUUUUCUGCUUCAAGCUCCUGCUUUGGCUUCCCUUGAUGAUGAUAGUCUGUGAGAUGUAAGAUGAAAUGAAACCUUCUCUCCAUGAUGCUUUUGAUCACGGUGUUUCUCAAGGUAGAACAAGCCCCGAGGGAGGGAGUAAAUGGUGACAGAAAAAUGCUGCUGAAAGACUCAUGGCCCCUGGACAUGGUGCAGAACUGUACGUACCUGUGCUUUUUUUAGAGCCGAGUAAGGGAUGUCACCGAAGAGGAAUAACGUGAUGUUUAGUCAGUCUGUACAUUCCAGUGGGUUUCAAGUGGCUACGAAUCCAUGGUCUGCAGUUCCAGUCCCACUCGACUGAAAGCAGAGAUAAUGUCAAGAGACUGUAAUGUUAGACUACUCGUCCUUUGCUCCAAGAAAACUGCUUUUAAACUACUUCCAGCAUGGCUACCUUGAGGGACCAGAAGAGGAUUUCAGAUGCCUGGAGCUGGAGUUAUAGAUGGUUGUGAGCUGUCCAACAUGGCUACUGAGAUCCAAACUCUAGUCUUCUAAGGAACAGCGAUCUCUUAACUUCUGAGCCAUCUCUCCAGUACAGUAAGCCUGACUUUCUUAAUAACAUUCUCUGAUUUGUCACUUAUCACAAAGCACAAAAGAUCUAACACUUAGGAUUAAUCAAUAACAAAAUAAGACAGUGCCUCAAUAAAGGACCAACUUAAAUUUCUCCCAUAAUAGAAUUGUUCUAUAUAUGUGCAAUGAUUGUUCAAUUCUUUGAUGCAUUUUUAUUAGUAAGAAUGUUGCCUCUCAUGUGCUAAAUCCUUGUUUCUGAAGAAGCUUAUCUAACAUUUUAAAACUCAAGGUGCUCUGCUUUACCUGGAAAUGUCUUGGCUUAAAACACUUAAAACUCUUCUCCACAGGACAGCCUGGUUCUAGUCCUGAAAGUCUGACAUGCUGGGAAGUCCCACAGUCUUGGGUAAUCAGAACAACUGGGCCUUUUGUUCUUGGUAUUUCUACUCUGUUUGGUCAUAGAACCUCCAACACCUCCAAUGAUGUACAUUGGAAUGAGUCACAAAGGCAGCAUGGACAGAAACUCCCUGAGACCACAUCAACUUUCAGUGAGAUGAAAAAAUAGAGGGCAAUUUUCUAUGCAAAUAUGAAAAACUGUUAUAAUCCCGUAACAAUGUUAAGGUUGUUCCAUGGCAGGUUAUUUUAGAAAGUGUGAUUUCCAGAAUUUAAGCAGACCUAUGCAGAAACAUGAAGCAAAUCUUUAAGCACAUGAUACAUAGCUGCAGAUGUCUGAGGAACCUGGCCAGGACACAGAGCAGGCGGACAUGAAAAACUAUGCCUUUGUAAGGCAUAGUCUGAAGGCCCUAUCUGUUGCAGAAUUAACUUACACAAAUUACAUGACAGUACUUGGACUGUGUGACCAUUAUUUUUUGUGACAUUCGCCAAAGUUGAGUUCAUAUGAUAUAUGGGAUGAGUUAGAUUUUGAAAAAUAAAUCAAAAAUCAACUCCCACUCCCUCAUUACUUCAAUCUUUUUUGUUGUUGUCGUUGUUGUUUUGGUUUAUUGGGAAGCAUAACAUUACAAUACUGUUUUAUUUUCUUUCUGUAAAAUCACAGGAAACCUUUCCAUUUGAUGCCCUUCUCCUCUUAUAGCACUUUAGAAUAUAAAUAAUUUCUAGAUAGAAAACACUGCACAAUCUAUUGCAGAAAAUCUGUGUCAUCCCUCCUCACUAGCUUACUCCCACAACAAACACUCAGUUACACCGUAAUGUGUUUGCACCACAGAAAAUUACUGACCUCAUGAUCUGAGCAGCACAAUGUUCUCAAAAUAUAUUGCCUCAUCUGUUAGGUUUGAUUAAACCAUUUAUCAGCAAAAAAUAAAAAUUGCUUUUCUUUGCUUAGCAUGUCUGGAGAUUGGAGAGUGCUUUGUGAGGCCAUGUUAUCUCCGCAUUUGUAGUGGUGCUAUGCACUGUCAUUGGUUCAGGAUAAUGGGGAUGCAUGCUUACAUUAAGAAGACAGUUACUCUCUUUUAUGUGCACUCCUGUUGCAUGUGUAUUUAGUGCACUACACUGUUGCAUAGAUUAAACUAUCUAGAAACAUUUAGUUUACUACACACACACACACACACACACACACACACACACACACACACACACACACACACACACGUCCACUUCCACUUAGGGAGUCAUACCAUCACUCCUCCAUACAUGAUAUAUAUGCAUUGAAUUUUUUUCCACCCAUGGAGAUGGAUUUAUGGUGUGUGCUUUCUCACUUUAGUGCAAUAUCUGGCUGAAAUUAGGAAUGUGGCCAGACAUUAAACAGUAGAGUUUUUCCUCAUGUAAUGCUCAUUGAUCCCUAGGGCCACUGAAUUGCUGUCUUCAUCUUUUACCUCUACUCCCUACUCAGUGGAGUCAGUGACUCCAAUGAAUGUGAAUUAGAUAGAUGCACAGUUUGAUCCUCUAUGAUUCUGAGGGGUUAGGUGACUUCACAGAUGUGGUCAAUUUUGAUAAGUUUCUAGAUGAAGUUGCUUUUGGCCUUGGAUGAUUUGAGCAAAUUGUUAUUCGGAUCUCGUUAUAGACACAGUGCUGGAAAAAUGUAUGAGAUCAGUGCCAUAUUUAUGUAGCUUCAAAAUUGAAAAAGAGUUGCUGCUUUUUGAAGUUUCUGGGGAGGUUUUAUAAAAGAGAGUGGUAUCAUCCAUUGAUUGCUGCAAUAUCCACCGAGUAGCUAUCAUGUGCUGGGCAUAACUUGUAGACAGGAUCAAGACCAUAGUCCCUUAAGGAGUUUACCAUCUAAGGGGAUGCCAGAUAUUCAAAUAAACACACACCAAUCAUAAUUCCACAAGUGUUUCAAGUAUAGGUUGGCAUAUGAGAAUUACAGUUUGCCAUGGGAGGGAGAAGGGAAGCUUAGUUCAUUGGUAGAGCUUGAAAUUGCUAUUUAGAGAACGAUUAGGAAUUUGAAACAAUCGAGAGGGGAAAAUAGGAAAAAUGUGCUUCAGAAGGAGAAAAAUUGUAUCAAUUUCUGGAAGCUAAAAAAAAAACAUGAUUAUUUAAUAUUACUGGAAAUAUACAUGGAAGAAGGGUUUGACGAAGGGAUGUUAUGAGCUAAGUGGCAUGGGCAGAUGGGCUAGUCAGAUCUGAAGACCUUGUGUGCUGAAUGAUAGAAUUCUUUAAAGUUUAUAAGAGAUGUUUAUCAUGGUAAGAAUCAUAACAAGUGGCAGUUAGAGAGUUGUAAUGAUAUAUCUUCAAUAGCCUGGAUGCUUCUUCCUCUAAGCCAGUCUAAAAGCUCUAAGUGCCAUAGGGAGCAUAACAAGCUUGACUGAGGAAGCUCUGAGAUUACUGCCUAGCUGGUUGUGAACUGUUGAACACACCUGCUGGGGUACGCUGCGUCAGAUUCACAAGUUCAUUUUACUAAUGAGGAUAGAGACUCAGGAAGGUUAAGUUGCUUCCCCCUCCAGAUUAAAGAACUAGUGAUGCUUGAGGCUGACUAGAUAUACUGUUGCUAAUUUUCAUCUGACUGAAAGAAAGGCUGCAGGGAUUCUAAAAGAAACAGGGAAGAUAAAGAUUUAUAGUAUGGUCAUAGUAGUGAGAAGCUGAGCAUUGGGUGGCUAGGAUGGAAAAGGAGCAUGUGGGCAGAUCCUGAGGGGGGAAUAAAGGAGCCAUACAAUAGUAGAAAAUGUAGUAAGACUGAACUCUACUAGGAAUGCUAAGAUUUCCAGUUCAAGAGAGCUUGUUGGCCAAGGGUAGUAGAUUCUGGAGAGUUAGGGUGGAAUUCAAGAGAAGUGGCGACAAGACACUAACAUUAAACAUCAGUGGCAUUGAUGAUGACUUUCUUCAUAACCUACUGUUUCAAAUUUGAUGUGAAUGACCUAUCUGGAUAACUGAGAACCUCCACUAAUUGUGCCGGAAUUUAGUAGAACAUAUUUCUCAAUCACUGCUCCCGUGACUGGUAGAAAAGCAGAAGUGCAGGACACUUACUCUUAAGAAUUGCUCUGCUUUGUAAGGACAUGGCAUUUCACUGGUUUCAUUCCCACAAUGCAUCACUCUUUGUUCGAGGAGUAGCUCAUGCUGCCUCAAAAUACUCAGGUGCUAUGGACAUCAAGGGGAGACACCACAGAUAAAACCAAAUGGCUAGGAAGGGGACACACUGCCCAGUAGGUAUUAUUUUAGGCUAUCAUAUCUGGACUCCUCUGAUCACAGUUGUUAGGUGAAGAAUCUGUGAACUUAUUCCUCAUUGGGUUAAUGUUUUGACAAAUCUCAACAAUCACCAUGACUUUCACUUUACAUCCUUGCCCAACAUAUCAGCAUGGAGGAUUUUGGAAGCCAUUGCUUUCUGUUCCUCAAUGCUUUGGAGACUUCCAUCAAGUGCACAUGUGAAAUGGUACAUUGGUAAGAUGUCCCCUCUGUAUGCCCCAAACAGGAAAAUGUUUUCUGUUAAAGUUUGCAUGACCCCUUUCAGUACUUUGCAUGUCAAGAGUACAGGCCUUAAAGUGUGCUGGUGGUUAAAGACUAUGUUUAUUUUAGUGUGUGUACUAAUACUUUCCUACCUUGAAUAUAUUCCUUCAUUUAGACAUCAUCCAAGGUAUUCUAUCUUUUCCUUGACUUUUUGGAGAUUGUCAAUAGACAAGCAUCAAGUUCAUUAAACUUCUUGGAGUCCCUUGAGCUGACCCAGAGAUAAAUGAAACAUUGUACCUUUUUGGAAAACAAUCUGGCCAUUGAGUUCUGAUUUGAAGAGGAAGCACACUGUAAUAUGCAGGCAUGAGAUACUUGAGCAGAAGAUAAUGCUUGCAGCCGCACUUUUAACAUUCAAUUUCAGUGCUGUCCAGAAAAACUGUAAAACUGGGGAAAGACUAUGCCCUUAAACUUAUACCCUACACUGGAAAUGAAGGUUCAAAGUGGGUACACAUUGACCAGCGCGAAAAGCUGUUGUGCUCAAAGAGAAUAAGUUCCCUGGAUUCUUGGAAUAGUCAUCCUCCUGAAUGUGCAAAUGUUUAAUGAAAUAUUACACCAAAGACUCAUAAGCAUCAGUGAAAUCUCUCAACUAACCAGCCGCCUUAUUAGUGAAAGAGGCCUUGAUCCAAUUUGACAGUUGUUGGGUACUCUCCAGAUAAAAAUAUCACCAUUUCACCAUUGUGGACAUUUAUCCCUCUAAUCAUCACUGUGGUUCAUAGGC